GGUCCAUAUUGGUCUAAUCAAAGACAUAGACUUAAUCAACUACAACUAUUAAAAUUGAUCAAAAAAAAAUUGACCCAAUCAGAAUUAACUUUUAAUUAGAUUUGAUCAAUUACUAACAUGAUCCAUUAUCAAUGAUUUUUAAUCCUAGGUCUAACCCAGUUAAAUGGACUGGACUCAAGCUAACCCAUUAACCCAUUAAUUAUG
rnacentral:lncRNA from 1 species